rnacentral:rRNA from 1 species
GACGAACGCUGGCGGCGUGCUUAACACAUGCAAGUCGAACGGAAAGGCCCUGCUUUUGUGGGGUGCUCGAGUGGCGAACGGGUGAGUAACACGUGAGUAACCUGCCCUUGACUUUGGGAUAACUUCAGGAAACUGGGGCUAAUACCGGAUAGGAGCUCCUGCUGCAUGGUGGGGGUUGGAAAGUUUCGGCGGUUGGGGAUGGACUCGCGGCUUAUCAGCUUGUUCGUGGGGUAGUGGCUUACCAAGGCUUUGACGGGUAGCCGGCCUGAGAGGGUGACCGGCCACAUUGGGACUGAGAUACGGCCCAGACUCCUACGGGAGGCAGCAGUGGGGAAUAUUGCACAAUGGGCGGAAGCCUGAUGCAGCAACGCCGCGUGCGGGAUGACGGCCUUCGGGUUGUAAACCGCUUUCGCCUGUGACGAAGCGUGAGUGACGGUAAUGGGUAAAGAAGCACCGGCUAACUACGUG